rnacentral:lncRNA from 1 species
UUACAUGGUGUUUAAGGCCAAGCACCUGGCUAGCCAGUACUGGGGGUGCAGCCGCACAAUGGCCGGCCGUCGGGACCCCAGCCUGCCCUACCUGGAGCAGUACCGGAUUGAUGCCAGCCAGUUCCGGGAACUCUUUGCCAGCCUGACACCCUGGGCCUGUGGCUCCCACACACCUCUGCUGGCAGGGCGCAUGUUCAGGCUCCUGGACGAAAACAAGGACUCGCUGAUCAACUUCAAGGAGUUCGUGACAGGGAUGAGCGGGAUGUACCACGGGGACCUGACAGAGAAGCUCAAGGUGCUCUACAAGCUACACCUUCCCCCAGCUCUGAGCCCAGAGGAAGCCGAGUCAGCCCUGGAGGCGGCCCAUUAUUUCACAGAGGACAGCUCCUCAGAAGAAGCACUACCACAGGAAGAGCAAGAAGGAAGUGGAAGUGAGGAGAGAGGAGGAGAAGGGGACCAGCUCUCCGGACUAUCGGCACUACCUUCGAAUGUGGGCCAAGGAGAAAGAGGCUCAGAAGGAGACGAUUAAGGAUCUUCCCAAGAUGAACCAGGAGCAGUUCAUUGAGCUGUGCAAGACGCUUUACAACAUGUUCAGUGAAGACCCCAUGGAGCAGGACCUGUACCACGCCAUCGCCACCGUGGCCAGCCUCCUGCUCCGCAUCGGAGAGGUGGGGAAGAAGUUCUCAGCCCGCACAGGCAGGAAGCCCAGGGACUGUGCCACUGAGGAGGACGAGCCACCAGCACCCGAACUGCAUCAGGACGCAGCCAGGGAGCUUCAGCCCCCAGCUGCAGGAGACCCCCAAGCCAAAGCAGGCGGAGACACACACCUCGGAAAAGCCCCACAGGAGAGCCAGCACGGGCUCCCUGCAAUGUGAAGACCUUGCAGACGACACGGUGCUGGUGGGCGGGGAGGCCUGCAGCCCCACAGCGCGCAUCGGCGGCACCGUCGACACCGACUGGUGCAUCUCCUUUGAGCAGAUCCUGGCCUCCAUCCUGACGGAGUCCGUGCUGGUGAACUUCUUUGAGAAGAGAGUGGACAUUGGACUCAAGAUCAAGGACCAAAAGAAAGUGGAGAGACAGUUCAGCACCGCCAGUGACCAUGAGCAGCCUGGAGUUUCCGGCUGAUGCCUGCAGCUGUGAGGCCUGGCCCAAGGUGUCAUCAGUGGGGCUGGCCUCAUCUCCUCCUGCCUUUCCUCCCUUAUCAGUUUCUCUUUAAAGGUGUGCCCCUCCUGCUCUCCCAGGAGCAGUGAGUUGUGAGUGGAAAGAAGGCUGGUGCAGACCCAGCUGCCUUAGACAGAUUCCCUGGGCCUGCAUCUCCUGGCGCCGGCUGCUUCUGGGCCCAGGAAGAGGCUGUGGCUCCCACCUUCCUUACACCUGGUGGGAGCCCGCCUCGCACCAGCUGCACCUGCCUAGCAUUACAGGCUCUCAGAUCUGCCCUUGCUUGCCUCAUACCUCUGUGCUCCACACUGCGGCCAGGCCAGCUGAGUCCCUCCAUCCGUGGAUGCUUUCCUGCAGCUAUGUGGUAUGGGGGUCAUUCCUGCCUCUUGGCACCAGGUUGGGGGGCAUGUGCUUGUUGGGCACCAAAGUGAUGGAACCCUCAGGUGCUCUCCGGGAGCCUGAACCUCCUGACUGAGGAACAUGGGCAGAACAUGUUUAUUGCACAGAGUGGGCGCUGCGCACAGGCGUGGCUGUACACGUGCUCUCAGCUCAUCAUCCUUUCCAGUAACUUUAAAAAAACAUCCCUCAGGUCCUGAUAUAUUUCCUUGGAUUCAUUUCACUUGGCUAGAAAUUACACUGUGCUCAAUGCCUUAAUAAAUC